rnacentral:rRNA from 1 species
CCUACGGGAGGCGCAGUGGGGAAUAUUGGGCAAUGGAGGAAACUCUGACCCAGCGACGCCGCGUGCGGGAUGAAGGCCUUCGGGUUGUAAACCGCUUUCAGCAGGGAAGAAGCGAAAGUGACGGUACCUGCAGAAGAAGCACCGGCUAACUAUGUGCCAGCAGCCGCGGUAAUACAUAGGGUGCAAGCGUUGUCCGGAAUUAUUGGGCGUAAAGAGCUCGUAGGUGGUUCGCCACGUCGGAUGUGAAAAUCUGGGGCUUAACCCCAGACCUGCAUUCGAUACGGGCGAGCUUGAGUAUGGUAGGGGAGUCUGGAAUUCCUGGUGUAGCGGUGGAAUGCGCAGAUAUCAGGAGGAACACCAAUGGCGAAGGCAGGACUCUGGGCCAUUACUGACACUGAGGAGCGAAAGCGUGGGGAGCGAACAGGAUUAGAUACCCUGGUAGUCCACGCCGUAAACGGUGGGCACUAGUUGUGGGACCUUCCACGGUCUCUGCGACGCAGCUAACGCAUUAAGUGCCCCGCCGUGGGGAGUACGAUCGCAGAUUAAACUCAAGUAGUUAGUUGCGUUGUUGAGNGCGCGAGCACGACGGAGGAG